AGGGGAUUGUGGCUGCCUCUGCUUUGUCAUAUACUUCACCAGAGAAGUGGGGGAUAGCUGGCAGUGUAAGACCUCACUCAGCUCCCACGCAGUUGGUGAGGCCAGUCUCACUCCUGCAGUGCUCCAUUCGGACCUUGCUCUAAGGUGUAAGCUUCCCCCUCUGUAACCUUGUGAAAUUUGCAGCAGCGGGCUGCUUCUUUCAAAUGAUCUGUGAAUUCUUUUGGUUUUCCUGUUAUGUUCCUGUGGUGGUUCUUGGCGCAAAAGUUUACGGUGUGAGUCUCCAUACACUGUUCUGUCCAUCCAAGUGGGAGCUGCACAUUAGCCCUGUCUCCUAUAUGGUGACAUCAUAUGAACAAGAAGCUUCUGAAGGAUGCAUGUUGCUGUUGCUGGGCAGACAUGGACAUUGGAAAAAUCAAAAGUGAGAAAAGGGGGCAUUUUUCCUGAAUUUUUCAGCUCCCAAGUUUACAGGUCUGGAUCAAAUGGCCAGCAGAAAAUGAUAAGCAUCAAUUAAUGCUGAUUCAAACAAUCAAGACAAAGUGGAUGGAGCAACAUGGAUAACAUAUCCAUCUCUGCAUCAAUCAGCCUGAAGCAUGUUUGUGGACACCUCAAACCACAAGUCCCAUCUCUGACAACUAAUGCCUUCUUUAAAGAGCUGCCCCUCACAGGAUAUAAUGUGCUGGACUUGCUGGAGGAAGGACUCACCUUGAGGAAGCAAGUGACCAUGUUGGGAAACCCCAUGUUGUAAGGAAUUGUGGGUGGCCUCUAGGAGCUGAGUGUAGCCUCCAGGAAACAGUCAGCAAGCUCUCAUUACUACCACUGCAGGAGACUGAAUCCUGCCAACUACAUGAAUUCCUGAGCCAUGGACACUGUGAGACAAUGAAUACGUGAUUGUUAAGCUUCUAAGUGUGUGGCUAUAUUGUUGUGCAACACUGAAUGAAUAAUAUGAUUCUGAUGCCAAAAUCGCACUGUGCAGAGGAAGAAGUAUCACCACUCAAUGACAAUGAAUAAGAGUUCGUGUUGCUCCGCAUCCUCCCCAGCAGUCGGUAUUGUCAGAUUUUUGGAUUUGAGCCACUCUAAUAGAACCUCAGAUAUCUAAUGUGGAACAAGGGGAUCAAAAUAGCCAACAAAAGCCUGGGAUGAAGAUUAAACAAGGUAGCACAUGCUGAUCACCAGGUUGCACAUGUGUGAGUGCUGGGUGGUUUCCAGCAACUGUUCAACACUACCACUGCACAUCCAGAGAGGCACAGGGGCAGAAAGCCAUAGAAAAUGCUGCCACUGAGGUAAGAAGUUUUGUAGUUACACCUCCAUGAAGUUGGUUGCUGCAGCAAUGCUUGGAAGACAAGGUGGGUCCAGAGUUUGGAGAAGGGAAGGCACAUGGCGUAUUCAGUAGAGAAUGACAAGGCAAACAAAAGUGAGAUAAUUAGUUCAUAAUGGGAAAGCCCAUCUUGAAAAACAUGGGUCAUUUUUAAUAAAACCAUGAGCUAGUCCAUUGAUUUUUCAGCUCUGACAUAUAACAUUUUUGUGAACUGCAUGCUCUACAAUUCUCUUUGAUAAUUUUUGAACAGAGCUAAUUUUAGUUCUUUCCAAUUGUCUUUCCAAUUUCGCUGUAAACAAAGUGAUAAAGCACACUUUUCAGAUUUUUCCAGUCCAUUUAGAUUCUUUGGGUUGCAAAAGACUAAUGCUUUCUUAUGUCAUUUAAAGCAUCAGUGAUUAUUUAACAAGAUGCACAUGUGUAAAGAUUCGGGGCACAUUCUGAGACAGGCACAUUUAAUUUGUGCAAAUUCCAUUUUAUUCGCUUUUCUAUGAGGAGAAGUGAAACACUUGAAAUGCAUGAGACAUUUUUGUGACUAUUCCACACUCAAUUAGCAUAUUCCAGGAGCAACCGUAAGCUGGAAAAUGGAAAUUUGCUAUUUCCUUGGUCAUUCUCUCUUCUAGUGAAAACUAGAAAACUAGAAGGAUUCACAUGAAAUCCUGGGGAUUACAGAGUUUAAAGAAGCAUAGUUAUUUUUUUUCACAGGAAAUUUCUUACAAAACAAGAUAGCCACUUCAUCUAGUACUCAAUGAAAGAAACCAUGAACUGGUUCAAAGCUAGGAGAAAAAUAAUAAUAUUUGUGUCUAUAUUGCCAUUCUCCCAAAGGAUUUUUAAGGGAGAUUAUUCAUUUUGGGUAAAAUGUAAUGCAACUGAUGAGACAGAUCAACAGGAGGGAAGAAUCACUGGAAACCCCAGGGCCAUUGAAACUUUUCAGUGCUUUUUUUUUUUUUUUUUUUUUUUUUGAGACGGAGUCUCGCUCUAUCACCCAGGCUAGAGUGCAGCGGCGCGAUUUCAGCUCACUGCAACUUCCGCCUCCUGGCUUCAAGCGAUUCUCCCAAGUAGCUGAGACUACUGGCGCGUGCCACCACGCCCAGCUAAUUGUUUGUAUUUUUUAGUAGAGACGUGGUUUCACCAUGUUAGCCAAGACGGUCUCAAUCUCCUGACCAAGUGAUCCGCCUGCCUCAGCCUCCCAAAGUGCUGGGCUUAUAGGCGUGAGCCACUGCACCCCGCCUUGUUUUGUUAUUUUACAUGUUCUAUAAAUUGAUCUUUUUUUUUUCCCUCAAUGAUGCUCCUUUUCCAUAAGCUUGGCUUACUCGCAAUUUUAUAUAUUAGGACCUGUCAUGGAUUAAAUUCUGUUUCAAGGUAUUUUUUGAUCAUCCCUCUUUUAGGUAAUGGCCUAAUUUUCUGGUUUUUUUAGUUUGUUUUAGCUUAAAUUCCCGAGAAUCUACUCGACCCAGCCCAUGAUUUAUUUUUCAGGAUUUAGCAUUUCAAGUGUUGCUGACCAGCCUGAAAAUUUUCUUUUGGGGGUAUCAUUGUCCCCCUAAAUCCUAUUAUUCCUUGGGGAUUGGGCAAGGGCAUAGGAUCUGCAUAGAGUUUUGCAAACAACAAAUGAGGGCUAUGGGUGAAACAGUUUCAUGCAGAAAGGGGCUGUGGUUCUGACAGGCAAUCUAAGAACCAGUCCAUUUCCCCAGUUAUUUAGUACAAGGAGUAUUCUCUACUUUAAUGGACAACAGCCAGCUACGUGCAGUCCUGUAUAUCAUUCAGAUAAAACUGCACUUGGAAUUGAAGCUUCUUUAGCAAGAAUUUUGUAGCUACAGUUCCUUGCAUUUGUCUUCUCCUAUUCUUGUUUUUGAAGUUGUCUAAUUUUCCUCAAUCUGAAAUAGCUAUGAUUUUUAUGAUUCUUAUUCUCUAUAUUCUCACUUAACUUUCUUUUGAUUAUUAAAUAAACAACAAUGAAACUCUUAUUGUAAACUUCCUUGUGGACCAGUAGAACUGGAGAACUUAAAUGUUGUAUCAUAAUUAAAAUUCCUUCUGUAUCGUAAUUAAAAUUGCUAGACAUUUUGAGAAUAUCCUAAGCUAAAGAGGACAAGGGCUUAGUUUCAAUCAAGGACAAGGAAAAAAUGUUUUGUGGUGACGUGGACAUCAACAUCUACUUGAAAUCCAGCCAUUUUGGGAAAUAUUUUGUUGGCUUUAAUUAAGAUGCAUUUGUUCUAUAGAGAAAGUUUUAAAGCAUCCCCUCUUUAGACUAUCAUUCCAAAAUAGUGAAAGAAAUAUUAUUAUUCACUAUAUAUUAGCCAACUUCUUGAGGAAUUUGAGUGUAUUUAAAGUGGAUAAUAUAUAAAAGAAAAGGAAAUGAGAUGAUAUAUGGAAAAGGAGAAAGAGGAAAUUCAUUAAAAUUUAAUUUCUAUGAUUUUUUUUCACUCAUUAGGCAUGGCUGAGCAUGUUUUUAUAGCACAUAUAAUAUUUUAUAGCAUUAAGUUAAAUGGUUUCAGGUUUCAUAUAAAUUCUUUUAUUCUGUAAAGUGCUUCAGGACAUAGCUCAUUUCUGAGAGAGGUGAUCUCAUUAUGUUUUUAAAUGACAGCAGUAUGUUCAGGUAUUUUGCAAAAUAUAUAUUAAUUAAAUUUCCUGUAUCUUUCCAGCAUGAUCUAUACCAUAUAGACUAUAUCAAGAUUUUCUCAGUCAUUACAAAAUAUAAUGUUGCAAAAUUUCAAUUUUUAAAAUGUAUUCAUCCAACCAUCCUCUCAUCCUUAAACAAUUACUAAAUGCCCUUAAUGAGGAGUAAAAGAACCUGUUUGUGUUUCAAUAAGAUGCAGAGAUGAGUACAAUAACCUUAAAGAGGAAGAAAACUAUAAAUGGUUAUAAUAUAAAUGAGUCUGUGCUAAAUGUCAUAAUAAAGGUAGCAAUAACAAGAUUUCUGAGUUGAAUAUUGAAGAAAUUGCUAGGUACAUGAUCAAGAAAAACUGCAUGAGGAAAUAGGCAUUUGGGAUGCUCCUCAAGGAAGAGGUAGGAAAUUAAGGGGAUUAAGGGAUAUUAGGCAAGGACGAAGAGACUAUAGGCAAGAGCAAUGGUACACUGAAGACGGAAGCGUAAAACACUGGGGAAAAUCCAUAAUAAACAUAAAAUUGUAAGAGGAAAAUUCUGCACAAUAGAGCUGAAAAGGAAGAAUGAAGCAUGAGUGUUGGGCACCUUGAAUGCCAAGCUAAGGAGUUUUGGUAUUUUCUUUGUUCAGUGGAUGGGACAUAAAUAGGUUACCAGAUGUUUCAGCAACUAAUCUGCUACAAAAGGACACAUAAGACCUCUUCGAACUCUGAGUAUGCAAAAUGUGAUUUAUGUAUUUAUUCAACUACGUCUUAAGAACAAAUUUUUUCUCUGUGCAACUGAAAUUGCCAUUGAGAGGGGCAGCAAAGCCCCAAACACGGAAAAGAUGAACUAUUCUAAACAGCUCCAUGUUUUAUAUAUUAAUUUUUCUUCACAAAUAGCUGGAGUAAAAGUCUUUCUUUGUUGUUUGAUCGAAUGAAUCACUGCAGAGCAAAACCACACUUCAUGCUCUACAAGGUCAAGUGCCCCUGAGAGGAACAUCUCAGUGAAACUUCAAAACUGCUGUGUUUUCAGAUCUUGGUUCUCAGGAGAAUAGAGAUAGGCAGGAGCAGGGGAAAGAUCGUUGUUCUAUGAACAUUUGCAGACAUUUCUCUCUGGUGGGUGCUCACACAGGGAGAUCCGAUGCUUGAUAUGAGUAGAAAAAUACUAACUGCCAUUAGCGAGGACAUGUGGCAUCAUUAACAGGCACUAUCCUUUGUUGUCUGGGUUCCUCAAUGAAGGAUAAAUGAAGAGAUGCAAAGAAUAUUAGAAGCUCCAAUAAAAGAAAAUUAAGCACAUUCAGAGUCACACAUUGAAAACUUAUGAAAUCAGAAGGGCUCUAAAUAGCUUUGGUAAGAAUAAUGAGGAAACAGUAUAAUCAGUGUAACUCAGCUAAAUGGAUACUUUGCAAGCCAAAUGCAGUAUAUAGAAGUUAGAGACUCAGGGAGGCAGUCAAUAAAUAUUCAUUAAUGAUGCUAAGAAUCAGAAGAUGGUUUAAACUCAUGAAAUCAAGCAUACAUGUCUUCAUUGUUGGAAUUUUUCUAGAUCUAGAUAAUUCCAGCCAUUGCUUUUAGGUUCACAUGGAAAAGCAAAAUAUGCUAUUCUCUUUGGGCCUCAGUUUUCUCAUUUGCAAAAUAAAAGGUUUGGACAGGGAUCAGAAAACUACAGCCUAAGGGCCAAAUCUGACCCGUUGUCAGUCUUUAUAAAUAAAUUUUUGUUAAAUGUAGUCAUGUCUAUUUGUUUAUGCAUUGCCCAUGGCCAUUUUUGGGCUACCAUAGCAGUUAGGUAGUUGCAACAGAGACUGAAUGGCUUGCAAAGACAAAAAUUUUUCCCUCUGUCCCUCAGAGUUUGAUAACUACUGGACUGGAUGAUCUCUUAAGUCAGUUAAAACAAUCCACAGUGUAAGAGUACAUUCCAAUGUUUAUUAGAGCUGGAGUCUAUUAUUCAAUUUAUAAAGGAAAGACUUCCAAAAUAUGACACAUUUGUGUUCUUGACAAACACUGGGUUAAGGGAUUUUUAAGGAACUUGCACAAACAAUUAGCAAGUUCCUUAAAAGCCACAGACUCUUCUAAAGCAAAAUAGAUCCUAAAUAACCAUUCUUCUUUCUCUCACUGGAACUGCACAAUUAUUGCUGCAUUCAACUUGAUUAGUUGAUACUUCAUUAACUUGAAAUUUUCUACAAUCCAGGGAGACUGGACUGCAAUAUACCAUUAUUGCUUUUUUUAAAAAAAAGGAUUUGUUGAAGAUGAACAUAGUGAGAAAAUGGUUAUGGGAAAGUAUUUCACCCUACAAACUGAACCUCCUUAAAAUAUGAAUUAAGUUGGUAAUGACAAUGUUUCCCCCCAAAUUUUCUGUUUGCUGUUGAAACAGAUUCCAAAAUAUUCCCCCUUCCCCCAUGAAAACCUCAGUUUGCCAUUUGAGUUGAAGACUUAAUGGUCUAUUAUUUAGAUUGAAACGAUCUGGGUCCCAAUUGCAGGGCUGAAAGUUCAUCAGGUUUCUUAAUUUCCUUAAGUCUCAUCUACCCCAAAUUUGUUGAUCCUCCUCCCAUCAAGUGGUGGGGACUAUGUACCUUCCCUUUGAAUCUGGGUGGCUUGUGACUCUUCAAUCAAUAGAGUAUGACAGAUUUCACUUAGCAUAGCAUCCUCCAAGCUCAUCCAUGUUGUCACAAAUGGCAAGUUUUCCUCCCUUUUUAUGGCUGAUGUUGAUUAAUUUGAUUGUGGUAACCAUUACAUGUACACAUCUAUGACAUCAUCAGGUCUUGUACCUUGAAUAUAUACAGUUUUUAUUUGUCAAUUAUUCUUCAGUAAAGCUGGAAAAAAAUAGGGUGUGGCAGAAGUAGGUAUGGUCAUAGAAGAUGAUGCAGUUUCUGCCUUAGUCUCUGGAAUACUUGCACCUGGGUCUCUGAGCCACCAGGUCAGAAGUCUGACAAGACUGAGGUGUGGACACGCUGCAAGGAAGGCAAGCCACUCAGCAGUCUUGGUUUUCAAGUCUUUUCUGCCUUGAUGCCCAAUGUGAGAGCAAAGGAGAUCGCAGGUGAUUCCUUCCUUCAAUCCUUGAGUGACCCGAGCCUUCAAGCCUUCCCAGACUUGAUUCCAGACUUUGGAGAACCAAGAAAAGCCAUCCCCGGAAAUAAUAAAAUAUGAAAUAAAUAAUAAAAUGUUUGUAGUUUUAAACUACUACAUUUUGGGGAUAGUUUGCUUAGCAACAGCAAUAAUAAAACUGUUCUGCCAUCUACAAAAGAGAAACAAUAUUAAUCAAUGUGAUACAACUGUGUUGGGAAGACCAAACAAAAUUGUAAAUAAAAUACUACAAUGCCUGAUCUAUCAUAAGCAGUAAAUUAUAGCUAUUCAUACACAUUUCCUGAAAAUGAUAAUUUAAUUUAAUUCUACUUUUAUUCAUUGUGACUAGGUUCUAAAUUCCUUUUACUGUUUCUCUAUAGUACCCACGUAUCCAGUCUCACUACCACAAAAAUAGAAGGUAUGAAUUUUAAAAGAUCAAGCUCAGACAUUCAAUAAAGCAGACUGAUUCCUAAAAGAUAUGUAUAUAAUAGGAAACUAGAAUCCAGAUAAAAAGUUAAUAUAAAUUAUUAUUAUUUUUUUACCAAUUUAUUGGAAUAAACAUUUAUAAAAUGCCUACAAUGUGCCAGACCCUCUGAUACAGCUCAUGAUAAACAUCCAUGGGGAAAAUGUGUGCUUUGCCUUUGACCUAACACAAUAGUUGCUGUAGUUACUUAUUUAGUAACACCACCCUUUUUGGCUAGGAGUUAGUGAUCCAUCAUCUUUCAUCUUCUCAGAUCUGACAGACACUGGCAUACACCAUAAGACCAUAAAUGAUCACCAAAUCUCAGGACUUUCUCUCAUUGAGGAUUCAGAUCUAAAUGUCUCCUUGAAGUUUAUCCUGCUCUUUUGGCUUGUCAAUAAACACAGUGUUGUAGAGUUUGUGUGGCAGAUACUGUGGGUGAGCAGCAUGAAAUUCAAAUGCACAGUGAAUUGAAGUGACAUUUUUUUAUCCAAAGCAAUUCCAUUCAAAGCCACAUCAUUUCAGAAGGGCACCAGUACUGAUGAUAACAACUGCGCAUUGAGACUACUCUGAGUAGACAAAUUGUCUUGCAUUUUAGCUAAUGAACAA
rnacentral:lncRNA from 10 species